rnacentral:lncRNA from 1 species
AUGCACUUCAGAAAUGUAAACGAAACUGAAGCGUAUCACCAGGACUGGCAGAAACUUCUGUCGAGUGGUGCCUUCCUGCUCUCGUGUGAAGCCCAUGUUCCUCCAUGGAAAGCUGCCAAACCAGUGCAGGACCAGACUAGUUCAUUCCUGCAGCUCCUCUGGCAGGCGCUGGAACCCUGUGGCAGCUGGAGGCAACUCUGGGACUGUGCAAAAAGGAAGAAGUGGUAUCAGGAAAGCACAUGCUGCGCUGUGUUCAGCAGCCGAGGUGUCCAUGCAGAAGCUGAAGGCUUUACAUCAGAACCCACACAGCUGGAAGGUGGGAGGCAGAUGGGAGAACAGGAUCUCCCUCUUCCAGCAGCAGAAAACUAUAAUGCAGCUUAAACCACAUCAAGAAAGCACGCGUGAAUUCCUGUUCUCAGGAGUCAUUUAGGCACCGACCUCCAAAGCUGCUUAGGGAGCAGAGAAAACCAGGUCUGCAACUUGCUCUCAGUAGUGGGGCAAAGAAGUGGAAGUCUGUGGUGUACCAGUGUGAUUCAGGAAGACUGACACUUCAUUAGCGUGAGUAAAGGCAUCACAAUCUAGUCUUUAAUAUGCUUGUUUAGCUAAAUCUUGACCCAGUCAUGAGAUCCCUGUUCCACUUGCUUUUAAUCCUCACUCAUGAUUUUGGUGCUAAUCACAUACUUUUUGCAAAUAUAACAUAAAGCAUUCCCUUUAGGGAGGGGAACAUUUAGAUGUACCCUAUAAAAAUCAUUCGUUUUCUCUUCAGUCAUAACUACAUGUUGUUUCUUAAUUAACAGAACAAGCAACUUAAUCUUUAUAAUUACACACCUUGGGGAAAAAAAAAUUGUUAUAGAUGCAUUUUGCAGCGAGCUUCCCCGCCUCCUCCACUGGGAAUUCCAACAUUUGCCUCUGAAACAGAGAUAUGUUGGGACUGGCAUUUGCCACACUCAAAUCCACAAACCUCUGGUUGUGUCAGUUCCUGAAUUACAGACCUGAUGUCUGCAAAUGAUUGGUUUUCAAAGUGAAGGCAGCCAUCUUUCUGAAGGCUGAGAAAUAAACAUCUCAUAAAUCCGCA